UGGGGUUUAGCUCAGCGGCAUAAGCACCUGCCUUGCAAGCAGGUAGUUGUGAGUUCAAUUCCCAGUACCAA
rfam:Cavia porcellus supercont2_56 genomic scaffold, whole genome shotgun sequence.